GCCUGGGUGGCUCAGUUGAUUGAGCAUCUGACUUUGGCUCAGGUCAUGACGUCUUUGUUUGUGAGUUCAAACCCCACACCCAGCU
rnacentral:tRNA from 1 species